rnacentral:rRNA from 1 species
GAUGAACGCUAGCGAUAGGCUUAACACAUGCAAGUCGAGGGGCAGCAUGGUCUUAGCUUGCUAAGACUGAUGGCGACCGGCGCACGGGUGCGUAACGCGUAUGCAACUUGCCUCACAGAGGGGGAUAACCCGUCGAAAGACGGACUAAUACCGCGUACACUCUAUUUUGGGCAUCCAAGGUAGAGGAAAUGAAAUUCGCUGUGAGAUAGGCAUGCGUCCCAUUAGCUAGUUGGUGAGGUAACGGCUCACCAAGGCGACGAUGGGUAGGGGAACUGAGAGGUUGAACCCCCACACUGGUACUGAGACACGGACCAGAAUCCUACGGGAGGCAGCAGUGAGGAAUAUUGGUCAAUGGGCGAGGGCCUGAACCAGCCAAGUCGCGUGAAGGAUGACUGUCUUAUGGAUUGUAAACUUCUUUUGUAGGGGAAUAAAGAGGGGCACGUGUGCCCCAGUGAAUGUACCCUACGAAUAAGCAUCGGCUAACUCCGUG